CCCUUAGAUGUUCUGGGCCGCACGCGCGCUACACUGAUGCAUUCAACGAGUCUAAAACCUGCUCUGAUAGGGGUGGGUAAUCUUUUGAAUGUGCAUCGUGAUUGGGAUAGAUGAUUGCAAUUUUUCAUCUUCAACGAGGAAUGCCUAGUAAACGCAAGUCAUCAGCUUGCAUUGAUUACGUCCCUGCCCUUUGUACACACCGCCCGUCGCUACUACCGAUUGAAUGGUUUAGUGAGAUCUCUGGAUUGACGCUGGCUAGGGGGCGACCCUUGGCCAGACUGUUGAGAAACUGCUCAAACUUGAUCAUUUAGAGGAAGUAAAAGUCGUAACA
rnacentral:rRNA from 1 species